rnacentral:rRNA from 1 species
AUUGAACGCUGGCGGCAUGCCUUACACAUGCAAGUCGAACGGCAGCACGGGUGCUUGUACCUGGUGGCGAGUGGCGAACGGGUGAGUAAUACAUCGGAACAUGUCCUGUAGUGGGGGAUAGCCCGGCGAAAGCCGGAUUAAUACCGCAUACGAUCUACGGAUGAAAGCGGGGGACCUUCGGGCCUCGCGCUAUAGGGUUGGCCGAUGGCUGAUUAGCUAGUUGGUGGGGUAAAGGCCUACCAAGGCGACGAUCAGUAGCUGGUCUGAGAGGACGACCAGCCACACUGGGACUGAGACACGGCCCAGACUCCUACGGGAGGCAGCAGUGGGGAAUUUUGGACAAUGGGCGAAAGCCUGAUCCAGCAAUGCCGCGUGUGUGAAGAAGGCCUUCGGGUUGUAAAGCACUUUUGUCCGGAAAGAAAUCCUUGGCCCUAAUACGGUCGGGGGAUGACGGUACCGGAAGAAUAAGCACCGGCUAACUACGUG